rnacentral:rRNA from 1 species
UACGUAGGGGGCAAGCGUUGUCCGGAAUCAUUGGGCGUAAAGAGCGUGUAGGCGGCUCGCUAAGUCUUGCGUGAAAUCUCGGGGCUCAACCCCGAGCGGUCGUGAGAAACUGGCGGGCUAGAGUGCGGGAGAGGAGAGUGGAAUUCCUGGUGUAGCGGUGAAAUGCGCAGAUAUCAGGAAGAACACCAAUGGCGAAAGCAGCUCUCUGGGACGGUACUGACGCUGAGACGCGAAAGCGUGGGGAGCGAACAGG